CUCAUUUCUUCCCUGUUUUAUAUAGGGUAGGAGGGAGCAGGGAGGCUGAGGAGGGGGGAUAGACUGAGGGAGAGGAAAGGGUCUUACAACAUGGGAAGGGUCUGGCAGAAAGAGAAAGGAGUGAAGGGAUGGACUGAGAGGGUGAGGAGGUCUUACUGCAUGGGAAGGGUCUGGCAGGGAGAUAAGGCAGUGGGGGAGGGACUAAGAGGGAGAGGAGAGGGUCUUACUGCAUGGGAAGGGUCUGGCAGGGAGAUAAGGCAGUGGGGGAGGGACUGAAAGGGAGAGGAGAGGGUCUUACUGCAUGGGAAGGGUCUGGCAGAGAGAUAAGGCAGUGGGUGAUGGACUAAGAGGGAGAGGAGAGGGUCUUACUGCAAGGGAAGGGUCUGGCAGAGAGAUAAGGCAGUGGGUGAUGGACUAAGCGGGAGAGGAGAGGG